AUACGUAGGAGGCGAGCGUUGUCCGGAAUGACUGGGCGUAAAGGGCGUGUAGGCGGCUGUCUAAGUCUGGAGUGAAAGUCCUGCUUUCAAGGUGGGAAUUGCUUUGGAGACUGGAUGGCUUGAGUGCGGAAGAGGUAAGUGGAAUUCCCAGUGUAGCGGUGAAAUGCGUAGAGAUUGGGAGGAACACCAGUGGCGAAGGCGACUUACUGGGCCGUAACUGACGCCGAGGCGCGAAAGCGUGGGGAGCGAACAGGAUUAGAUACCCUGGUAGUCCACGCGGUAAACGAUGAAUGCCAGGUGUUGCGGGUAUCGACCCCUGCAGUGCCGGAGUAAACACAAUAAGCAUUCCGCCUGGGGAGUACGGCCGCAAGGUUGAAACUCAAAUGAAUUGACGGGG
rnacentral:rRNA from 1 species